rnacentral:rRNA from 1 species
UACCAGCACCCCGAGUGGUCGGGACGUUUUAUUGGGCCUAAAGCAUCCGUAGCCGGUUCUGCAAGUCUUCCGUUAAAUCCACCUGCUUAACAGAUGGGCCGCGGAAGAUACUAUAGAGCUAGGAGGCGGGAGAGGCAAGCGGUACUCGAUGGGUAGGGGUAAAAUACCGUUGAUCCAUUGAAGACCACCAGUGGCGAAGGCGGCUUGCCAGAACGCGCUCGACGGUGAGGGAUGAAAGCUGGGGGGAGCAAACCGG